rnacentral:rRNA from 1 species
AACGUAGGAGGCAAGCGUUAUCCGGAGUAACUGGGCGUAAAGGGCGAGUAGGUGGUUGCGUAAGUUGGUUAUGAAAGCUCCUGGCUAAACUGGGAGAGGUUGACCAAGACUGCGCGACUUGAGUGGAGAAGAGGUAAACGGAAUUCCGCGUGUAGUGGUGAAAUGCGUAGAGAUGCGGAAGAACACCAGUGGCGAAGGCGGCUCACUGGUCCGGUACUGACGCUGAGGUGCGAAAGCGUGGGGAGCAAACAGG